rnacentral:sRNA from 1 species
UGACUUAAGAGGAAGUCGCCUCUAAUAAU